ACUCCUACGGGAGGCAGCAGUGGGGAAUAUUGCACAAUGGGGGAAACCCUGAUGCAGCCAUGCCGCGUGUGUGAAGAAGGCCUUCGGGUUGUAAAGCACUUUCAGUAGGGAGGAAGGUAGUGUAGUUAACACCUGCAUUAUUUGACGUUACCUACAGAAGAAGCACCGGCUAACUCCGUGCCAGCAGCCGCGGUAAUACGGAGGGUGCGAGCGUUAAUCGGAAUUACUGGGCGUAAAGCGCAUGCAGGCGGCCUGUUAAGUCAGAUGUGAAAGCCCGGGGCUUAACCUCGGAAUUGCAUUUGAAACUGGCAGGCUAGAGUCUUGUAGAGGGGGGUAGAAUUUCAGGUGUAGCGGUGAAAUGCGUAGAGAUCUAGAAGGAAUACC
rnacentral:rRNA from 1 species